rnacentral:rRNA from 1 species
GUAGGUGGCAAGCGUUGUCCGGGAAUUAUUGGGGCGUAAAGCGCGCGCAGGCGGUUCUUUAAGUCUGAUGUGAAAGCCCACGGGCUCAACCGUGGAGGGUCAUUGGAAACUGGAGAACUUGAGUACAGAAGAGGAAAGCGGAAUUCCACGUGUAGCGGUGAAAUGCGUAGAGAUGUGGAGGAACACCAGUGGCGAAGGCGGCUUUCUGGUCUGUAACUGACGCUGAGGCGCGAAAGCGUGGGGAGCAAACAGGAUUAGAUACCCUGGUAGUCCACGCCGUAAACGAUGAGUGCUAAAUGUUAGGGGGUUUCCGCCCCUUAGUGCUGCAGCUAACGCAUUAAGCACUCCGCCUGGGGAGUACGGCCGCAAAGGCUG